rnacentral:misc_RNA from 2 species
ACACCUCAACUCUCGUGGCCUUGCCAUGAUGAGCUUGGACUUUUGUGGGGGUCUUGCUGGCCUGUGGUCAGCUCCUCUGAAAUGAAUAAGCUUGCCAGUGUUUGGUGGCAUCACAGGUGUGAUAACUAUCUACGCUUGUGGUUUUCCACCAGGUAACCUUCAGCGAUGAAGGUUCGCUGGGGCUCAUAAAUGUCUCUCCUCAGCGAGGACAGCUCUUUGAAC